CCAGUUUGGCCUCCGGGGCUCCGAAGGGACGGGAACCAGCCCUGAGAUCCUCGGCGGCUGAGACUCCACGAACACAGGGGACCGGAUUCCACUUUUCGGUCAGCAAGCUCGCACACUACCGCUGCAACCACCCAGGGACCAGUGCCAAGUGGAUCCGCGCAGAGGGGCACGGGAAAACGAGUCCCGCGGUGACGCCUCUUUGGAGGCUCUGGGUUGUCAGAACUACAACUCCCACAAGGCUGCGCGCGGCGGGCCUCAGAGCUGGGAGGUAAUUUCUUGCCCCAGACUUUGCAUCUCGCUCCCCAGCAGCUGAGGGUCCAAGUCUCCGGGACUGGGUGGUCAAUGUAGUUGGUAGGAAUGAAUCCGCGACUUUGCCUGGCCGAUAAGGUAGGAAAAGAGAAGACUGGGGUAGAACUGGGUAAUAGAGGGGAGUAAUUUUGAGUCUAAGGCGUGUGGGACACUUCCGUCCUGGAAGCUGGGGUCUGUGAGGCUAAGAGCCCAGACACCAAUUUACUGAGUGAUCACCCCUUGCGAAGGAUGGCACUAGGCGUUUUAUAUUUAAUCUUAACUUACCAAGAUUAAAGAUUAAACGGCCCCUUCUGAAUUCAAAGAGGCCCAAGUUGUCGCAUACACGUAGAACUUUAAGCUCACUUAUAUCCAUAAUAUUUUUUGUGGAAAAGUCCAGGGCCUGCCUGUGAGUGUCCCAGUGACUAAACACCUUAAUUUACAAAGGACAGUGUGACCUGUAAGCACCUGUUGGUCUGGUUUCUCUUGCAUAUGGGACUGCCUCAAGCCUGGGUUCUAAAUCUUGACAACAGAACAUAAUGGAACCAGCUGUGUCUGAAGGCAAAGGUCAAGUUGAGAGGAGAGACCUGUGUGAGAAGACUCUGAAUAUAGGCCAUCUAACCAAUUCCUAAAUCCUUCUGAUUUUUAGUCCUGGAUCAAACUGGGCCAAAUCUGAAGACAACAUACUUAUGGAGUAUGACUUCUGACCUGGAUCUAAGCUUGUUCAGCAAGCUGCAAGGUUAUGAAUACCCUACUAUGGGGGAAGGGUGAUUUUGGAACAGGCUCAUUGUCACAGUUUUCCCCCUGGCCUCAUCCCUGCCUGGUUGGACUCACUCUUCAAAGUCUUUUUGUGCAUCCUGAUGUGAGUACAAACUGAAAGCUGUUUUUCUAUAGGCCCCGGGAGUGCCAGACAACACUGCUUUGGAAACUAUAAUCCCCAUAGUUAGAGAGAUCUGUUCUCCACAGCGUGGCAAAACAUGGUACAACUUUUGUGCAGAAGGACCCUGAUAUUUGAACAGCUUCGGCAGCUUCAGUACAUCAGGAACCUGUCCUUCAGGGCAGCAGGCUCUACAGAGAGUGGCGGCAGAAGGGUGUCACCUGCCUUCAAGAGCAAUAACCGUGCACAGUGCCACUCGGAGCCUGCAACGUUUGGAGGAGUGGAUUAACCAUGGAGGGGUUGCGAGAACUCCCAGUUCAGAACACAAAAGAAGAAAGAACAGAACAUUGCGAUGCAAAGAUUUAUGAGGGAGAAAGAUUCACUAAGAAAAGGAAAUUGGAAACCAAGGAAGCAGAAUAUUCAAAAGACAGCCAUGUGCCACGCAUAAUAAUGAAGUUUCCCUGACUCCCUUUGGCUCAGGCCAGCAAAAAAUAAAAGGAAAGAGAAGAUUAAAAAUGGUUGUGUUAGCAAGAUUCAAGUGUGAUUCCCACACUUGAAUGGAUCUGGAAAUCGACUGAGGAGUGUGUUACGGUGUGGAUUUUGUGCUAUUACCUUGAGAGAGUCUACUUCAAGAGGUCUGGGGUGGCCCCUGGGAUCAGGAUUUGCCCCAAGCAGCCCAGGUUGUUCUGAGGCUGGCUGUCCAAGGGCCACGUCUGGAGAAAUGCUGGUGAAGUGGAAAACACACAGGACUGGUCUCUGCCAUCACGAGGCUGGCCAUCUGCCUCACUGAGUCUGCUUCCUUGUCUGUAAAAUGGGGAUAGACUAUAGCUACGUCAGUGUCCUGAGGGUUAAAUGAGUUGAGGUAUAUGACAUGUUGGGAAUCAUAACUCAAAUGUUCCAUAGGUUUGAACGGCUCUGGGGUGAAAAAGAAUUAUUCUGGCUUCAGAAGGCAGAACUGGGCGAAGGGGAAGGAGUAGGUGAGGGGGCAGCAAGUCUGGCUUCUUAGGAUGCAUUCUCUAGUCUUCGGACACGGCCCAGCUGUCUUGGGAGGUGGCGAACAAAAACGUGUUGGGUCACACCAGCGAAAAGCACUGCAGAUGAGUGCUCGGGUUCGUGCCCACCUGCUGUGCCUCAGUGUGGUGCGGCCACUGCAACCAUACAGCUCGGCCUAUCCUCCCGCGUUCAGAAGGCACCCAUGCCCAGACCUGCUCCUCCUCAAAUCCAGAAUAAAUGCCCCAAACAAAACCUUCUCUCGUCAGGCCCUUGCCUGCUUCCUCGGCCUCAUUUCCUGUCUGUCCCCAUGAGUGCCUUUGGUUCCAUAUCCUAGAAGAUUCCCAGAUGCCCUCUUCCCAGCCACAUGCCCCCUCACCCCUAGCUGAAUCCUAUUAACCCUUUAGAACUUUAACCUAGUCAGGGGUCCCUCCAAGCUCCCUGAUCCUUCAAGCUGAGCCUCUUAGGCUCCUGUGGUGGCCCUGAGGACACUCAGUUCCCUCCUAGCACUUGCCAUCUUGUUUUGUGGUCCUUUGCCUAUCUGCGUUCUUCCAGUAGGGGCUCCUUGAGAACAGAGAUUGCCUUUUCCUCUGUAUCAUCAUCACCUGGCCCAGAGCCUAGCCUGGAGUGGGUGCUUAGUAAAUCUUAGUUGAGUGAAUGAAGGAGGGGUGGCAAGCUCUGGUAUUCCCUACCCAAGAGCAAACCAAUUCCCUAUUCCUUGCCCGCAUCCCUGUAGCAGGGUAAAAAGGCCAGAUUUCACUUCUCAGUCUCCACUGCAGUGAGAUCUGGUCACCCAGGUAUGGGGAGAGUCUAAUGUAGAGGGAGUGCUCUAGAAACUGUUUUUCCAUUCCCCAGUAAAUGGAGGGAACCUUGCUGGAGGUCUCGCCCACCCCCACUACCUCCUGUGUGGACAGGCCUGUGUGAGUCAAGAUAUCUGAAGCUGUCCAAAGAUUCUCAGAAAUGCCAACCAAUAUCCUGAGGCCUCUGAAUCAACCCUUGAAUCUCCUACCUCCAGAAUUCUUACUUGAUGAGUAAUAAAUGUCCUUAUGGCUGAAGCCUCUAAACAAUCCUAAUCAACAGAGUGAUAAAAUAUUAUAAUGAAUAAAAAAAGGAGGGAACCGAACAUAAAUAUUCCCUUCUUGGAAGGACAGAACCUCAGAAUCUACUGGCAUCUUAGAGAUUGCCAAGUUCAAACCUUGACCUUCACAUCUUUACUGCCGAUGUGCCCCUGGUUCCUAUCUGAACAUUCUUUAUGCAUACGAGGGAGGACAGGGUGGGGUGCCAUAUUUCAUGAUGCAGUCUCCCUGGACUCCUGAGUUGGGAUCUCCUUGACAGAGACCAGCCUCCUGGCCCUGUCUUCUGCCAGGCCUCUGCUGCCCACCCCUGAGAGUCCGCACAUGAGUGUAAAGGGCUUUAUCUCUGUUCCCCUCCAUAUCAAAGACCCAUCCAGGUCUUGAGGCCUUUCCUCUGGCUUGCGAUCAGACAUCUGCCCUUUCCUUUAGGUGGUGAAGGGUCCCCCCCUCCCUUAGCCUCCAAAUGUGGAAAAUUGUGGAGCGUUUGCUCAAAAGGAAAAUGGCUGAUUAGAUAAGAGUUUGAAUGAUCUGUCAUCUCUUCUAGGCACGUGCCUAGUGUUCAGCACCUUCAGGGUCAUCCACACACGUGCAGGGACCAGGAUGUGCUGAGUGUCUGAGAGAGGG